UUCCCUUUCGUCACCUUGCCAGUGGCUGGUUAUUCAAAUUCCGACGGCCGUUGAUCAUUUACUUUGCUUGAUACUUAAUCAUUUAAUAUUUAAUGACAUACCCUUAAGUACCAUUAACUAUUAUCUCAAGAGCAUAACUAUUUUUGCCCCUCUUGGCUUUUUCUUAAUAAAGAAAAAUUUUUAGACGCGAAAAUGGCCUAAAACCCCCUACCCCCUUAAAAAAGACAUUUUUUGGACUUUUGACCCUGUAAAACCCCAAAAACAGGAAAGUGCCUAGAAAUAUAAGAGAAUCGAGUUGUUGCAAGCUAUCUCUUGUAGUGUUUCACUACGAGCUAGUGUAGCUUAGCCUCAAAGCAUAAUACUGAAAAUGUUAAGACGGGCCCUAGAAAAGCCCCACAAGCA
rnacentral:tRNA from 1 species